rnacentral:tRNA from 1 species
UGUUAUGUGGCUUAGUUGGUUAAAGCACCGUACUAGCGAUACGAAGUCAUGUGUUCGAAUCCCACCACAACAA